GCGCCUCGUGAAUUCAUCUCCGGGGGUAGAGCACUGUUUCGGCUAGGGGGCCAUCCCGGCUUACCAACCCGAUGCAAACUGCGAAUACCGGAGAAUGUUAUCACGGGAGACACACGGCGGGUGCUAACGUCCGUCGUGAAGAGGGAAACAACCCAGACCGCCAGCUAAGGUCCCAAAGUCAUGGUUAAGUGGGAAACGAUGUGGGAAGGCCCAGACAGCCAGGAUGUUGGCUUAGAAGCAGCCAUCAUUUAAAGAAAGCGUAAUAGCUCACUGGUCGAGUCGGCCUGCGCGGAAGAUGUAACGGGGCUAAACCAUGCACCGAAGCUGCGGCAGCGACACUGUGUGUUGUUGGGUAGGGGAGCGUUCUGUAAGCCUGUGAAGGUGUGUCGUGAGGCAUGCUGGAG
rnacentral:rRNA from 1 species